UCUCCGUUGGUGAACCAGCGGAGGGAUCAUUACUGAGUUACCGCUCUACAACCCUUUGUGAACAUACCUAACUGUUGCUUCGGCGGGCAGAGGUCCCUCGCGGAUCUCUCCCGCCAACGCCCUCACGGGCGGCGCGCCCGCCGGAGGAUACCAAACUCUAUUUUAACGACGUUUCUUCUGAGUGGCACAAGCAAAUAGUUAAAACUUUUAACAACGGAUCUCUUGGUUCUG
rnacentral:misc_RNA from 1 species